rnacentral:rRNA from 1 species
GACGAACGCUGGCGGCGUGCUUAACACAUGCCAGUCGAACGGAAAGGCCCUGCUUUUGUGGGGUGCUCGAGUGGCGAACGGGAGUAACACGUGAGUAACCUGCCCUUGACUUUGGGAUAACUUCAGGAAACUGGGGCUAAUACCGGAUAGGAGCUCCUGCUGCAUGGUGGGGGUUGGAAAGUUUCGGCGGUUGGGGAUGGACUCGCGGCUUAUCAGCUUGUUGGUGGGGUAGUGGCUUACCAAGGCUUUGACGGGUAGCCGGCCUGAGAGGGUGACCGGCCACAUUGGGACUGAGAUACGGCCCAGACUCCUACGGGAGGCAGCAGUGGGGAAUAUUGCACAAUGGGCGGAAGCCUGAUGCAGCAACGCCGCGUGCGGGAUGACGGCCUUCGGGUUGUAAACCGCUUUCGCCUGUGACGAAGCGUGAGUGACGGUAAUGGGUAAAGAAGCACCGGCUAACUACGUG